GAUGAAGAACGCAGUGAAAUGCGAUACGUAAUGUGAAUUGCAAAUUCAGUGAAUCAUCGAGUCUUUGAACGCACAUUGCGCCCCCUGGUAUUCCGGGGGGCAUGCCUGUCCGAGCGUCAUUGCUGCCCUCAAGCACGGCUUGUGUGUUGGGCCCCGUCCUCCGAUUCCGGGGGACGGGCCCGAAAGGCAGCGGCGGCACCGCGUCCGGUCCUCGAGCGUAUGGGGCUUUGUCACCCGCUCUGUAGGCCCGGGCGGCGCUUGCCGAUCAACCCCAAUUUUUAUCCAGGUUGAACUCGGAUCAGGUAGGGAUACCCGCUGAACUUAAGCAUAUCAAUAAGCGGAGGA
rnacentral:misc_RNA from 1 species